UACAGAGGUCUCAAGCGUUGUUCGGAUUCAUUGGGCGUAAAGAGCGUGUAGGCGGCCAGGUAGGUGUGCUGUGAAAACUCGAGGCUUAACCUCGAGCUGUCGGCGGAAACCAUCUGGCUAGAGUCCGGAAGAGGAGAAUGGAAUUUCCGGUGUAGCGGUGAAAUGCGCAGAUAUCAGGAGGAACACCGGUGGCGAAGGCGGGUCUCUGGGCCGAUACUGACGCUGAGGAGCGAAAGCGUGGGGAGCGAACAGG
rnacentral:rRNA from 1 species